UUAACUGCGAAGUUAGGUCCGGAGGAAGCCGCUAGCAAAACUGCGAGCUGAUGAACAAGAACAUCAUAUGAGGCGUAGGCUGGAGGCGAGUUGGCACAAGACGACGAAGCCAUGUGAUCUAACGGCCACCGUAAAUGAUGCAGUUGCGCAGGGAAAGUUCAUAUU
rfam:Oleispira antarctica strain RB-8, complete genome sequence.